rnacentral:sRNA from 1 species
UUUUAGCCCAGAUAGCAGCGACAUCCUUUUGUGUUGAGCCAAUAUUUUAUUGGACCAACACAAAAGAUAUAGCGUAUAGCUGGAUUAGCU